CCUGAGAAACCCAAAAGAUCGAAUGGGGAGAUUCAUCGCCAGCGGCGUUGGCUUCCGUGCGGCUCGCGAUGGCCGGGACCUCGGUCUCGCGUCACGCGGCCGCUGCGGUAUGUCCGGCGACGUCGGCGUGCACUUCUCCCCUAGUAGGACGUCGCGACCCGUUGGGUGUCGGACCGAUGGCCGUUUGGUCGACUGUCGCGUCGCGUUCACGCGCGCACGCGGCAGACCAAUGCGGCCGAGCGUCCGGCUGCCCGGCGGUAUAGAACGCUUAAGAUUGGUAAUGAGCCGCAUUAAGUGCGUUCAGGCUCGUCGGCAGGCUCGUCUCGCCCGGAUUUACGGACCUAGCGCCGUUGCCGGGUGCUUGGCGGGCCGUUAGUCGACGAUGCCCUCGGACUGGCUCUAAAAUUCGAAAGGAUUACCUGUCGGCGACGCUACUGCUUUGGGUACUUUC
rnacentral:rRNA from 1 species